rnacentral:misc_RNA from 1 species
GAAAUGCGAUAAGUAAUGUGAAUUGCAGAAUUCCGUGAAUCAUCGAAUCUUUGAACGCACAUUGCGCCCUCUGGUAUUCCGGGGGGCAUGCCUGUCCGAGCGUCAUUGCGAACCCCUCAAGCACGGCUUGUGUGAUGGGCCCUCCCGCGUCUUGGUCGUCAAGACGGGCCCGAAAAGCAGUGGCGGCUUCGCGGUUAUCCGAUCAGCCAGAGCGUAUGGGGACUUUCUCUCUGUCACACGCCCGCGGCGCGGACCGACGCCUGUCGACCUUUCUUCAUCUUUUUCUCGGUUGACCUCGGAUCAGGUAGGGAUACCCGCUGACCUUAAGC